ACCGAGUGGAGAUUUGCGCUUAAAUACGAGCUGCUUGCAGUUGCAAACUUAGUGCAGGGCCAGAUGCAGACGCUGCAAGAUCGGCGACAAUAUGUUAGCAAAUCUGUUUGGCUUGCUGCUGCUUGUUGUUAUUGCCCACGCGGCUCCGUCGGGGGAGAUAAGAGGUAGAAUAGAAGGAGGUACCUUUAGUCUGACGCCUCUUGAUGGCGACAAAUACUUACUAAAAACUACCCGGGAUGGAACUGUGAAAGAAGAGAUCGUGACGCAGACCAAUCCUGAAGUAUUUCGAGUGAGGUGCUACACCGUCGAGUCAAUUCCGUACGGAAGUUUUAUUAUUACCUAUGAUCAAUCUAUCAAGGUCUAUAAUGCGAGAUUUUAUUGUGAAAAGACAUCGUUUCCAUCUGGGGCAGGUGGUGGUACUCUAAGCGGAGGUUGUUUAAAAUGUACUACAGGUUAAAAUAAUGAACUAGUUUGAAAGCAUUACAAAAAUUGUGCUCAGUUUAUUUAUGUUAAUAAAAUAUGCCCCUUUGUUCAUGAAAA